CCUACGGGUGACUGCAGUGAGGAAUAUUGGUCAAUGGACGAGAGUCUGAACCAGCCAAGUAGCGUGAAGGAUGACUGCCCUAUGGGUUGUAAACUUCUUUUAUAUGGGAAUAAAAUGUUCCACGUGUGGGAUUUUGUAUGUACCAUAUGAAUAAGGAUCGGCUAACUCCGUGCCAGCAGCCGCGGUAAUACGGAGGAUCCGAGCGUUAUCCGGAUUUAUUGGGUUUAAAGGGAGCGUAGGUGGAUUGUUAAGUCAGUUGUGAAAGUUUGCGGCUCAACCGUAAAAUUGCAGUUGAAACUGGCAGUCGUGAGUAUAGUAGAGGUGGGCGGAAUUCGUGGUGUAGCGGUGAAAUGCUUAGAUAUCACGAAGAACUCCGAUUGCGAAGGCAGCUCACUGGACUGCAACUGACACUGAGGCUCGAAAGUGUGGGUAUCAAACAGGAUUAGAUACCCUUGUAGUC
rnacentral:rRNA from 1 species